rnacentral:lncRNA from 1 species
GAUGACCUGGUACUUCCUUUCAGCAUCAUAUUAUAGCGGUGCACUCUUAUAACAUAACAUUAUCAAAGAGGGACUUCAAAUUUUGGGUAACAAAAAAUAGGCUAAAGUGUAACUAAGACCCGAGGGGUGUGUUAUAUGGACACACAAAAGUCGAUUAAAAAAAGGACUCCAAUUAUUAGUUCAUUUGAGAUGGUGGACAUCUUCAAUUGCAGGACCUGCUGCAGAAAUUUUUAUCCAAGAAGACUAAACCAUAAACAAACUUGCUGAAUGUCAGUAAUCAAUUUCAAUUCUUUUACGAAAAAAGUACGAAAUUAAUUUCUAUAAUUUUAAAUGAGUAUGUCAUUAGUCAUUAACCACUUUUGGCUUGUAGGAUCUGAGACUUGUGAGAUGAUGAAAUGAGGUGCUUCUUACAAGUUGGUUUUUGGAGGGGAAGUGAGGGGAUGGCUUAU